UACGUAGGGGGCGAGCGUUGUCCGAAGUUACUGGGCGUAAAGCGCGCGUAGGCGGACUCUUAAGUGAGGGGUGAAAGGUUCAGGGCUCAACCCGAACACUGCCUUUCAUACCGGGAGUCUUGAGUGCGGGAGAGGCGAGUGGAAUGGUCGGUGUAGCGGUGAAAUGCGUAGAUAUCGAUCGGAACACCCAUGGCGAAGGCAGCUCGCUGGCCUGUAACUGACGCUGAGGUGCGAAAGCGUGGGGAGCAAACAGG
rnacentral:rRNA from 1 species